rnacentral:lncRNA from 1 species
UGUAAUGAGUUUUAUGGAUGUUAGUGUGUGCUUGACCAUAGUUUGUUGUAUCCCUUUUAUGCAUGAUCUUAGAGAUCUUUAUGAUGUUUAUGUAAACCAACUCAACAGAUGUUAUGCUACCCUUUGGGGGCACAGAUGAGAUCCCACAGAGGGAUCAAAGUUAUGUUUAUGUUUAUGCACAGGUUGAGUUUGGUUGAUGUUCAUGGAAUGAAAAGUUUUAAUUUUUAUGCAUGUUGUUGAUCAUGUAUGGGAUUAUACAG